AUGACUAACAAAAGCUUCAGGAACAAGUGCCAGAUGGUAUAUUGGAUGUAUCAGAAGCAGUGUCCUGAAAGACUGACAGUCCUGCGAGUGAAUCCUGGAGGUGGAAUCUUUAUGGGAGAUGCCAAGAAUGCUGAAUUAAAUUCAAAUCUGAUUCAUAUGGAAGCCUUCUUGAAGGCAAGGUCAAUGGAACAGUGGCAGAUGCUCCAGUGGGACUCAAGCAAAAUAACCCCACUGUUCAAGCAGGGCACUCCAGCAAGAGCCUCUUUUGGCACUAUGAUGGGAAAGAAGGUAAAGAAGUCACUGAGAUGGAAUACUAAGGACCAGAAUGCUGAGGCAGCUCUGUUGUACCUUCAGAACGAAAAGGAAGUGUGGUUGCAUGAUUGGGUUGAUGAUGAUGAUGAUGAUGAUGAUGAUGAUCAUUAUUAUUAUUUGCAAACUUUCUUGUCCUCUACAGCAUCAACAAUAAAAGAAAGUGUGCAAGAGCUUUCUUUUUCCUAUAACAUGCUAAUUUUUGCUUUAAAAAUUAUUGUACAAAAUGCUUUUAUAUACAGUGUUCCCUCACUACUUCGCAGUUCACUUUUUGCGGAUUAGCUGUUUCGCGGUUUUUCAAUAAACUCUAAAAGAAUAUUAUAAAUAAUAAAAAAUACAAUUUACAGCCUAAGGAAAGGAGGAAGGAGAAGCUGAAGGGAGAGAAAAGGAGCCCAAGCAGCAACAGGAGAAGAAGGCAAUUUAUCAACACACGAUUGGUUGAUAAAGACUUAAAAUAGUGUAUAACUACUAGAAUAAUGUAUAAAUAUUAAAAUAAAUAUUGUGUCCCUACUUUGCGGAUUUUCACUUAUUGCGGGUGGUCCUGGAACAUAACCCCUGUGAUAAGUUAGAAAACACUUUACACAUAUUUUGUGCCAGAAAAAGAAAAGUGUGAAGUUUUCAUGAAAAAGUCUCCAAAAAUGCCAAAAAUGGGCAGAAAUUCUUUAAAAAAUCAGUUUGCACAAGUUUUGAAUUAUUUUCAUUGCAGAAGGAUAACUUUAUUAUUUUUGAAAAGUUUGCUUAGCAUGGCAUGAGAAGUAACAUAAAUGUUACAGCAUGAUCAGGAAGACAUGGAGCACUAAAAGUUGGUUUUGGCAAUUUUUCUCUCUGAAUGUAUGUGGAGUCAGGCAAGAUUUCUGACACUGGAGAGUUUGCAGUGCAUUAAAAAUAUGGCUAAUAGAUGUGAAUGGGGAAGAUAGGAAGAACUUAGUUUGGACCUUGCAAUGGCAGAAUGGCAUUUGAGAGCUUGAAGAGAUCUUGUGAUGAAUAAUUUCACCUUGGGAGUCUCAAUAUUGGAACUGUAAUGAAGGUUGAGUCACAGACCUUGAGGGGGAAAUUGCAAAGUGUUGCUUGGAUGUAAUGAAUUCAUAAGCAGAGGGUGAUUCACACACAGCACUAAAAUGGUUUAUGAGCUCAUCACUUGUACUCUUUACGCAUACAUGUAAAUGGUUUUAGUUUCAAAAGAGGGACCCUUUAAGGUUACAAGAUGUCCUCUUUUAUGCUCUGGAUGUUAGUAAAUGGUUCAGGUUCAGAAGAGGAUACCUCUAAGCUCUACCCUGUAUUCUUAUACUCUUUGGAUGCUAAUAAAUGGUCCUGGUUUAAAAAGGGACCCUUUAAAUUUAUAACCUAUUAUCUUAUACUCUCUGGAAGCUAGUAAAUGAUUCUGGUUCAUCAUUGUCAUAUUUAUUACCCACCUCCCUUUGUGGCUCUGGGCGGGGUACAACAGGGUAAGAGAAUCAUUCUGCCAUGUUCCCCUGAAAAUAGGACAGUGUCUUAUAUUAAUUUUCACUCCCAAAGAUGCGCUAGGUCUUAUUUUCAGGGGAUGUCUUAUUUUUCCAUGAAGAAAAAUUCACAUUUAUUGUUGAACAAAAAAAUGAACAUUUAUUAUAUACUGUGCAGUAGUUGUCAUCACAAACCAGCAUAACCAGACAAACUGUGAAUCCUAUCAAGAAUUUCUUAUUACUGCCAAUAUUUCCAUGUACAAUAUUUCCAUGUUCCAUUUCCAGGUACGUACAUUUACCAAUCCUGCAUGCUCUAUUGUUCUGUUUGGCAGGCAUGCUUCCAAACAAAAACUUUACUAGGUCUUACUUUUGGGGGAGGCCUUAUAUUUACCAAUUCAGCAAAACCUCUACUAGGUCUUAUUUUCUGGGGAUGUCUUAUUUUAGGGGAAACAGGGUAUGAUUUGUGUUAAAAUUGCUGUAUCAUAUUUGCAAGUUUAGAACAGCACAAAAUGUAUCUUUUAUUUUCACAGUUGAAAACUGCCCUCUGUAAUGUUGGUUAUUUUAUUUGUAAUUACUCUUUUUUAAAAGGGACAUUAUUUUUUCUAUUACCUUUAGGAGGCGACCACUCUUAAAAACAGUCUAAAAAUAGUUAUGAAUGAAUGUACAAAGAGCUAUAUACAGUAUUUCCCUGAAAGUUGUAAAAUUCCCAGAGAAAGAAUUUUCUUUAAGUUUUCUCAAUUUUCAUUUUUGAAUCACUGUGAAGUAGCUGUGUGGGGCUACCACUGCACAAUCCAUUUAUGAGGAAUAGUGGGGCCUGAUUUAA
ensembl:lncRNA